AAACGAGGCUGCUUGCAGCCGAAGUGAGUGAUACCCUGCUUCCAGGAAAAGCCACUAAGCUUCAGCUAUACACGACCGUACCGCAAACCGACACUGGUGCGCGAGAUGAGUAUUCUAAGGCGCUUGAGAGAACUCAGGAGAAGGAACUCGGCAAAUUGACACCGUAACUUCGGAAGAAGGUGUGCCUUUAGUAGGUGAAGGGAUUUACUCCUGGAGCCCAAUGAGGUUGCAAAAAAUCGGUGGCUGCGACUGUUUAUUAAAAACACAGCACUCUGCAAACACAAAAGUGGACGUAUAGGGUGUGACGCCUGCCCGGUGCUGGAAGAUUAAAUGAUGGGGUGCAAGCUCUUGAUUGAAGUCCCAGUAAACGGCGGCCGUAACUAUAACGGUCCUAAGGUAGCGAAAUUCCUUGUCGGGUAAGUUCCGACCUGCACGAAUGGCGUAACGAUGGCCACACUGUCUCCUCCUGAGACUCAGCGAAGUUGAAAUGUUUGUGAUGAUGCAAUCUCCCCGCGGAAAGACGGAAAGACCCCAUGAACCUUUACUGUAGCUUUGUAUUGGACUUUGAACAGAUCUGUGUAGGAUAGGUGGGAGGCUUUGAAGUAGGGUCGCUAGAUCUUAUGGAGCCAACGUUGAAAUACCACCCUGGUGUGUUUGAGGUUCUAACCUAGGUCCAUUAUCUGGAUCGGGGACAGUGCAUGGUAGGCAGUUUGACUGGGGCGGUCUCCUCCCGAAGCGUAACGGAGGAGUUCGAAGGUACGCUAGUUACGGUCGGACAUCGUGACGAUAGUGCAAUGGCAUAAGCGUGCUUAACUGCGAGACUGACAAGUCGAGCAGAUGCGAAAGCAGGACAUAGUGAUCCGGUGGUUCUGUAUGGAAGGGCCAUCGCUCAACGGAUAAAAGGUACUCUGGGGAUAACAGGCUGAUACCGCCCAAGAGUUCAUAUCGACGGCGGUGUUUGGCACCUCGAUGUCGGCUCAUCUCAUCCUGGGGCUGUAGCCGGUCCCAAGGGUAUGGCUGUUCGCCAUUUAAAGAGGUACGUGAGCUGGGUUUAAAACGUCGUGAGACAGUUUGGUCCCUAUCUUCCGUGGGCGCUGCAGAUUUGAGGAAGCCUGCUCCUAGUACGAGAGGACCGGAGUGGACACACCUCUGGUGUAUCGGUUGUCACGCCAGUGGCAUUGCCGAGUAGCUAAGUGUGGAAGAGAUAACCGCUGAAAGCAUCUAAGCGGGAAGCUCGUUUCAAGAUGAGAUCUGCCGGGGCCUUGAGCCCCCUAAAGAGUCGUUCAAGACCAGGACGUUGAUAGGUCAGGUGUGGAAGCGCAGUAAUGCGUUAAGCUAACUGAUACUAAUUGCUCGUGCGGCUUGACCU
rnacentral:rRNA from 1 species